AGGGGGCUGAAGUACAGGGCAGGUAAGUAGGGGGCUGGAGUACAGGGCCGGUAAAUAGGGGACUGGAGUAAAGGGCAAAUAAAUUGGAGGCCGGAGUACAAGAGAUUUUAGGCAUCUCUUAAAGAAUUUCCAUGACUUAGAGUUAAGGUCAAUGGAUAACCUCAGUAUAACCCAGACAGGACCACUAACAAUGCAAAGCCUGCAAGAAUGAAGUUUCGGGUCAUCCCAUCAGACGUGAUCCCACAGUCGUGUAAUAUGCAUGCUAAGGGCUCUCCUUUGUGACAGACACCUCUUUCCAAAACUGAAGAGAGCAGAAGCCAACGCGGCCGCUCUCAUUACGCAGCUCCACUCAGCUCCCUCAGAAGCACAGCUGUCCUCCACGCCUGUGCCCUGGGCACCUGGGAUUCCAGGUGCCAAUUUGACGGAACCCUGGGAAACAUGGAGGGCUGUCAAAACCAUGGGAGCUGAACACUCGGACUUCACAUGAACACGAUAAACAAGGAUUCAUUCAUUCAGGAUAUGGGAAAUCCAUCUGUUACUCAGAAACUGGAAACAGGAGCAAAACGUGUAAGGGAGGUGGCGGCUGUGAGCAGAGAAACACGGGAGGAAACGGGAAGGCCAAAGAGCAUUGCGCAUCACCUCCAGGAAGCUGCUGUAUCUGACCCUUCUGUGGCAAACUUCUCAAGCAGAGCGUCAGCAAGAAUGGGUCGCUGAGUGCAUGUGUACAUACAUGUGU